UUGGAGGGCAAGUCUGGUGCCAGCAGCCGCGGUAAUUCCAGCUCCAAUAGCGUAUAUUAAAGUUGUCGCAGUUAAAAAGCUCGUAGUUGAAUUUAGGCCUGACUGGGCGGUCCGUCUCUGACGAGUACUGUUCUGUUGUCGGGUCUAUCCUUCUGGUGAGCCGAUAUGUCCUUUAUUGGAUGUGUCGGGAAACCAGGACCAUUACCUUGAAAAAAUUAGAGUGUUUAAAGCGGGCUUUUGCUUGAAUAGAUUAGCAUGGAAUAAUAGAAUAGGACGUUGGUUCUAUUUUGUUGGUCUAGGACCACCGUAAUGAUUAAUAGGGAUAGUUGGGGGCAUUAGUAUUCAAUCGUCAGAGGUGAAAUUCUUGGAUUUAUUGAAGACUAACUACUGCGAAAGCAUUUGCCAAGGAUGUUUUCAUUAAUCAAGAACGAAAGUUAGGGGAUCGAAGACGAUCAGAUACCGUCGUAGUCUUAACCAUAAACUAUGCCGACUAGGAAUCGGGUGAUGUAUUUUUUAUGACUCGC
rnacentral:rRNA from 1 species